GCCGGUGUUGCUCAAUGGUUAGAGCAUUAGCCUGCAGACCUAACGGUCCCGGGUUUGAUUCCAGUCAAGGGCA
rnacentral:tRNA from 1 species